rnacentral:rRNA from 1 species
UACGGAGGGUGCAAGCGUUGUUCGGAAUUACUGGGCGUAAAGGGCGCGCAGGCGGCCUGCCAAGUCAGAUGUGAAAUGCCAUGGCUUAACCAUGGACGUGCAUUUGAAACUGGUGGGCUUGAGUACCAGAGGGGAAGGUGGAAUUCCCGGUGUAGAGGUGAAAUUCGUAGAUAUCGGGAGGAAUACCGGUGGCGAAGGCGACUUUCUGGCUGGAUACUGACGCUGAGGCGCGAAAGACGUGGGGAGGCAAACAGGAUUAGAUACCCUGGUA